AAGUAAGGUAGCCAUGUUAAAACACGAAGUUCUGUCGUAAUGCAUGCAUGAUCCACAUCGUGUGGA
rnacentral:sRNA from 1 species